UUCUGGCUCAGAGCGAACGCUGGCGGCAGGCUUAACACAUGCAAGUCGAGCGGGCGUAGCAAUACGUCAGCGGCAGACGGGUGAGUAACGCGUGGGAACGUACCUUUUGGUUCGGAACAACACAGGGAAACUUGUGCUAAUACCGGAUAAGCCCUUACGGGGAAAGAUUUAUCGCCGAAAGAUCGGCCCGCGUCUGAUUAGCUAGUUGGUGAGGUAACGGCUCACCAAGGCGACGAUCAGUAGCUGGUCUGAGAGGAUGAUCAGCCACAUUGGGACUGAGACACGGCCCAAACUCCUACGGGAGGCAGCAGUGGGGAAUAUUGGACAAUGGGCGCAAGCCUGAUCCCAGCCAUGCCGCGUGAGUGAUGAAGGCCCUAGGGUUGUAAAGCUCUUUUGUGCGGGAAGAUAAUGACGGUACCGCAAGAAUAAGCCCCGGCUAACUUCGUGCCAGCCGCCGC
rnacentral:rRNA from 1 species